GACGAACGUUGGCGGUGCGCUUAAUGCAUGCAAGUCGAGGGAGAACCAGUUGAUUCGUAAGAUUCGGCUGGGGAAACCGGCGAACGGGUGCGUAACACGUGAGGAACCUGCCCCGAAGACCGGGAUAGCCCGAGGAAACUCGGAUUAAUACCGGAUACCCUCUUUGGACCACAUGGUCUGUUGAGGAAAUGGUCCGCCGCUUCGGGAUGUCCUCGCGGCCUAUCAGCUUGUUGGUGAGGUAAUGGCUCACCAAGGCCGAGACGGGUAGCUGGUCUGAGAGGACGAUCAGCCACACUGGGACUGAGACACGGCCCAG
rnacentral:rRNA from 1 species